AGCUCCAAUAGCGUAUAUUAAAGUUGUUGCAGUUAAAAAGCUCGUAGUUGGAUUUCUGGUAGGAGUGACCGGUCCGUCCAUUGUGAUGUGUACUAGUGUUGGCUCCCGCCAUCCUUGGGGAGAGCAUGCCUGGCAUUAGGUUGUCGGGUAUGGGAUCCCCAUCCUUUACUGUGAAAAAAUUAGAGUGUUUAAAGCAGGCUUAUGCCGUUGAAUACAUUAGCAUGGAAUAAUAAGAUAGGACUUUGGUGGUCUAUUUUGUUGGUUUGCACACCAAGGUAAUGAUUAAUAGGGACAGUUGGGGGUAUCCGUAUUUCGUAGUCAGAGGUGAAAUUCUUGGAUUUACGAAAGACGAACUACUGCGAAAGCAUUUACCAAGGAUGUUUUCAUUA
rnacentral:rRNA from 1 species